GAGAGAGAGAAAAUGAGAGAAUGGUUACAAAUUUGAUUUUGAGUUUUCUGCUUUCGAUCUAAAUUGAUUAAAAGGAUAUAAACAAUAGAUUUGUAAGAUUAGAUCCAGCUUGCAGAUUCAUUUAAUGAUCUUAUCAAUUUUAGACUGCUAAAGUUGCUCCUGAUGGUGAUGAUUUUGAUUCGUAUUAUACUCGUGUUUAAGGUGUUUGUAGGUGUAGAGACUAUCCAAGAAACUAAGGAGAUAAUUAACGAAAUGAAAGAAAAUGACCCGAUGCGGCUACUGAAUCUAGAGGUUCUAAGGAUAGUGUGUCGUAUCCAGGUACAGUACACAUACUGUAUACGUUUACAUUGAUCCUAGUUUUACAACUGAGUGUUAUCGUAAUGCCUAUUCACAUCCAAUUGCUCUUAUUCCCGAUGUCAAGAAACCGAAUGAAGUUAAUGAAAGCACUAAGGUCAACGCUCCUUCUGUUAUUAAAGGACUUGGAAGACAAAAAAAAUUAGGUAUAUACCUCGUUCUGAGAAGCCAAGGAAUAAACGGAUGCAUGGUAGCUGUAAAAAGCCAACUUUUCACAACAAGAGAUAUCCAGAUCCUCCUGGUGAAGCUCC